rnacentral:rRNA from 1 species
CCCGCUGAACUUAAGCAUAUCACUAAGCGGAGGAAAAGAAAUUAACUAAGAUUACCCCAGUAACGGCGAGUGAAGCGGUAAAAGCCCAAAUUGGUAAUCUUCACGCUGUGCGUGACGAAUUGUAAUCUAAAGGUGGAGCACUCAACUAGUGGAGACGCAGAAGUGCCCUAGAAUGGGCCGCCAGAGAGGGUGACAGCCCCGUAUGUGGUGUCUCUGCUAAACGAGUGUCCUUCGAAGAGUUGGGUUGUUUUGAAUUGCAGCCCUAAGCGGGGGAUAGACUUCCUCUAAGGCUAAAUAUAUAUGGGAAACCGAUAGCGAACAAGUACUGUGAAGGAAAGAUGAAAAGAACUUUGAAAAGAGAGUCAAAAGACUUGAAAUCGUUGAGAAGGAAGCGGUAGAAAUUUAUUCUUCGGCCGUGAACAAAGCCUGUCGCCUAACCAUUGGGGUUCUGAGCACUUUAAAGGCUCUCUGCUUCACCUGGGGAAGUGAUGGGUGAGUUCUAGGUUGUGAGGCAAAAUGGGGUUCCACAUCCACAAAAGCUUGGAUAACCUGAGCCGGUUCGCUGGCUAGUUUCCUGUGCUCGUGGGCGUGCAGCCUGAGGAUGCUUUGUGCGAUUUUGCUAAAAUGGUUUUUACCGACCCGUCUUGAAACACGG